rnacentral:rRNA from 1 species
GUUAAUUGGGGGCCAGGAGGGGGUGUAGUACGUGGUGGGCAAGCGGUGUCCGGUUUGAUUGGGGGUAAAGAGCGUGGAGGCGGCUUGGAAGGGCAGCUGUGAAAACUCGAGGCUCAACCUCGAGACGUCGGUUGAAACCACCUGGCUAGAGUCCGGAAGAGGAGAGUGGAAUUCCCGGUGUAGCGGUGAAAUGCGCAGAUAUCGGGAAGAACACCCGUGGCGAAGGCGGCUCUCUGGGACGGUACUGACGCUGAGACGCGAAAGCGUGGGGAGCGAACAGGAUUAGAUACCCCAGUAGUC